UACGUAGGGUCCGAGCGUUGUCCGGAAUUAUUGGGCGUAAAGAGCUCGUAGGCGGUAUGUCGCGUCUGCUGUGAAAGACCGGGGCUUAACUUCGGUUUUGCAGUGGAUACGGGCAUGCUUGAGGUAGGUAGGGGAGACUGGAAUUCCUGGUGUAGCGGUGAAAUGCGCAGAUAUCAGGAGGAACACCGGUGGCGAAGGCGGGUCUCUGGGCCUUACCUGACGCUGAGGAGCGAAAGCAUGGGUAGCAAACAGGAUUAGAUACCCUGGUAGU
rnacentral:rRNA from 1 species